GAAAUAACAUUCAGAAGUGUUGGGGGAACAUGAAUCUUAUCUGCAUAAAUCUGACACUUAUGACAUUUCUUCACAUAUUUGCAGCAGUCAGACUCCAUUGUCAGCCAAUAGUAGCCUGCUCUCAACAUCUUCUUCGCCAUGGCAUGUCCAUUGGAAUAAGUAUAAAAUGAACCUUCAUGGACUUCAUUCAUCAAUAGGUCUGCUUCGUGACUAUCCACGCAUCUGAG
rnacentral:lncRNA from 1 species